ensembl:lncRNA
GCUUUUCCUUAUGUUUGCAAAGAACUUCCUCUGUUUCAUUUUCUGCCCAUUGUAAGCGUGACUCACCCAGACAUUCAGGAGAUGUAGAUGACGAACACCUUCAUGCUUUAGGCACUCUUACAGAAAGAACAUUUCAGAUCCCCUGUAUGUGUUAUCCUGGUUUCAGCUGGGACAGGUAAUAGCACACAUAUGUUUGGGUAGUUCCUGAGCAAUAGGCAUACACCUGAGGCAGGGCUGCUGCCAUGAUGGAAGGCAGCAAAGGGUGAGGCAGGGCCAGCACAGGUGGCCUGAAUUGGGGGGCUGUUCCAUACCGUGUAAUACCAGGUGGAAGGUCAUAAAGCUGUGGGAAGUUGCCUGGAGGCCUUCUACUGUUGUUUGGGGGAGGACUGCUGGUUGGUUGGUGUGUGGGAGCAGCCGUGGAAAGAGAGAAGAUGAAAGUUCCUAUUCCAAACUUGAUUCUCUUGUAUGCUACUCUAACGCAGAGCUUGAAGGUUGUGACCAAAAGAGGAUCAGGUACGGGGCUGACUUGUCUGAAGACAAAUCUUCAGCCAGAUGUCCAUGACUAUAUGAUCCAGAGUGAAUGCUGAAGACAAAACAAAGACAUAAGCAAGAAAUAAUGCAAAUUCUACCUACCUACCUGUUUGUCUACAUAUGUUUUUGUG